rnacentral:rRNA from 1 species
CCUACGGGUGGCAGCAGUGAGGAAUAUUGGUCAAUGGACGAGAGUCUGAACCAGCCAAGUAGCGUGAAGGAUGACUGCCCUAUGGGUUGUAAACUUCUUUUAUAAAGGAAUAAAACGCGGCACGUGUGCCUUUUUGCCUGUACUUUAUGACUAAGGAUCGGCUAACUCCGUGCCAGCAGCCUCGGUAAUACGUAGGGUGCGAGCGUUAAUCGGAAUUACUGGGGGUAAAUCGCUCGUAGGCGGUCUGUCAAGUCAAGGGGGAAAUCCCCGCGCUCAACGGGGGAACUACCUUGCAAACUGGCAAACUGGAGUUUGUGAGAGGAUAGUGGAAUUCCAGGUGUAGGAGUGAAAUCCGUAGAUAUCUGGAGGAACAGCAGUGGCGAAGGCGACUAUCUGGCACAUAACUGACGCUGAGGAGCGAAAGCGUGGGUAGCAAACAGGAUUAGAUACCCCGGUAGUC